GGAUUAGAUACCCUGGUAGUCCACGCCGUAAACGAUGUCUACUAGUUGUCGGUUGUCUUGUACGACGGGUAACGCAGCUAACGCGAUAAGUAGACCGCCUGGGGAGUACGGCCGCAAGGUUAAAACUCAAAUGAAUUGACGGGGGCCCGCACAAGCGGUGGAGCAUGUGGUUUAAUUCGAAGCAACGCGAAGAACCUUACCUGGCCUUGACAUCCAGAGAACUUACUAGAGAUAGUUUGGUGCCUUCGGGAACUCUGAGACAGGUGCUGCAUGGCUGUCGUCAGCUCGUGUCG
rnacentral:rRNA from 1 species